rnacentral:rRNA from 1 species
UACGUAGGGUGCAAGCGUUGUCCGGAAUUAUUGGGCGUAAAGAGCUCGUAGGCGGUUUGUCGCGUCUGCUGUGAAAACUCGGGGCUUAACUCCGGGCCUGCAGUGGGUACGGGCAGACUAGAGUGCGGUAGGGGAGACUGGAAUUCCUGGUGUAGCGGCGAAAUGCGCAGAUAUCAGGAAGAACACCCGUGGCUAAGGCGGCUCUCUAGUACGGUACUGACGCUGAGACGCGAAAGCGUGGGGAGCGAGCAGG